rnacentral:rRNA from 1 species
GACAGAGGAUGCAAGCGUUAUCCGGAAUGAUUGGGCGUAAAGCGUCUGUAGGUGGCUUUUAAGUCCGCCGUCAAAUCCCAGGGCUCAACCCUGGACAGGCGGUGGAAACUACCAAGCUGGAGUACGGUACGGGGCAGAGGGAAUUUCCGGUGGAGCGGUGAAAUGCGUAGAGGAUCGGAAAGAACACCAACGGCGAAAGCACUCUGCUGGGCCGACACGUGACACUGAGAGACGAAAGCUAGGGGAGCGAAUGGG